AUUUGUCUGGUUAAUUCCGAUAACGAACGAGACCUUAACCUGCUAACUAGAUUCUAUCAUCUUAUGAUAGUUAUCUUCUUAGAGGGACUAUGUAAAACAAAUACAUGGAAGUUUGAGGCAAUAACAGGUCAGUGAUGCCCUUGUAUGUCCUGGGCUGCACGCGUGCUACACUGAUGUAUACAGCAAGUGCCGAGCCAGACAUGGCAUGGCAAUCUCGAAUAUGCAUCGUGAUGGGGAUAGAUCUUUGCAAUUAUAGAUCUUGAACGAGGAAUUCCUAGUAAGUGCAAGUCAUCAUCUUGCAUUGAUUAUGUCCCUGCCCUUUGUACACACCGCCCGUCGCUCCUACCGAUACCGGGUGAUCCGGUGAACCUUUUGGACCCGCAUGGGGAAGAUAAGUAAACCAUAUCACCUAGAGGAAGGAGAAGUCGUAACAAGGUUUCCGUAGGUGAACCUGCRGAAGGAUCA
rnacentral:rRNA from 1 species